GACGAACGCUGGCGGCGUGCUUAACACAUGCAAGUCGAACGGAAAGGCCCUGCUUUUGUGGGGUGCUCGAGUGGCGAACGGGUGAGUAACACGUGAGUAACCUGCCCUUGACUUUGGGAUAACUUCAGGAAACUGGGGCUAAUACCGGAUAGGAGCUCCUGCUGCAUGGUGGGGGUUGGAAAGUUUCGGCGGUUGGGGAUUGACUCGCGGCUUAUCAGCUUGUUGGGGGGGUAGUGGCUUACUAAGGCUUUGGCGGGUAGCCGGCCUGAGAGGGUGACCGGCCACAUUGGGACUGAGCUACGGCCCAGACUCCUACGGGAGGCAGCAGUGGGGAAUAUUGCACAAUGGGCGGAAGCCUGAUGCAGCAACGCCGCGUGCGGGAUGACGGCCUUCGGGUUGUAAACCGCAUUCGCCUGUGACGAAGCGUGAGUGACGGUAAUGGGUAAAGAAGCACCGGCUAACUACGUG
rnacentral:rRNA from 1 species